UCUAAAUAUAAGAAGUAUAAGAAACAAAUUUGAUAGCUUUAAAUAUUUAACUGAAUCACUAAUCAAGAAUGUAAACAUAAUAGGUCUUACUGAAACAUGGCUUAGCAAUAAUGACUGUGAACAAAAUUAUAAAUUAGGAGGAUAUGACUAUAUAGGAUUAAAUAGGGAGACUAAAAAAGGAGGGGGAGUUGGUAUAUAUAUUAAAGAGCAUAUAAACCGCAAAAAACGUGAGGACCUAACCACAAAUAUUGAAGAUAUCAUUGAAAGUGUUUGCAUUGAAAUAUGCACAACCGUAGGGAAAAAUAUUAUCAUUGCAGUAAUUUAUAGACCACCAAAUAACAAAAUUGAAAUAUUUGAAAAUGCAAUGAAUGAUUUAUUGAAUAAAAUUGAUCGAGAAAACAAAAUCUGUUAUCUUAUGGGAGAUUUCAAUAUAGACUUACUUCAGUCAGAAACCUGUGAUAUUGCUAAUAGGUUUAGUGAGCAACUUUUUACCUCCUCUUUUUACCCAAUUAUAACCAAACCAACCAGAAUCACUGAACAUACUGCUACUCUAAUUGAUAAUAUUUUCACUAAUAAUAUAGAUAAAAUAGACUCAAGUGUAAAUGGAAUUAUUUUCUAUGAUAUCUCAGAUCAUCUACCCAUAUUGCAUGUGUGUGACCUCAAUGCAAUCCAUUUAAAUAAACGUAACAAAGAAAUAAUAGACAUUAGAGAAUUCAAUAAUGCAAAUAUAAAUGUUUUCAAGCAAGCUAUUAAUGAAAUAUCUUGGCCAAGUAUUUUUUCUGAUAACUCAAAUCCACAACUAAGUUUUUCCGAAUUCACAGAAACAUUCUUAAAUGCUUAUAAUAAAAGUUUUCCAACCAAAAAAAAAGUCAUUAAAAAUUCAAUUGAUAAAAGCAAAAGUCCUUGGAUGACAAAAAGUGUCUUGAAAUCAGUGAGAACAAAAAACAAACUAUAUAAGGCUUACUUACUAAACAAUAGUAAGAAAAAUCAAAAUUUAUACAAAAAGUAUAAAAAUAAGCUAAACCAUGUUAUUAAAGCAUCAAAGAAAAUGUAUUAUGAAGAACAAUUAAUAAAAUAUAAGCAUGAUACUAAAAUGAUUUGGAAAACACUAAAUAAUAUUCUGAACAAAAAAACAAAGAAAACAAAUUUACCAAAGCAGUUUGCUGAUAAUACGUCAUCUAGCACUAUAGAUGACCCUAUAAAAAUUGCAAACAAAUUUAAUGACUAUUUUGUAAAUAUAGGACCAAAUCUAGCUAAGAAAAUUAAUAACACUAAUAUAACAUUUGAUAAAUACCUCACAAACAGCAUCCCUAAUAGCUUAUUUCUGGAUCCAGUUACAGAAUAUGAAGUAAGAAGUGAAAUAGAAAAACUAAACACAACCAAAAGUCCUGGACAUGAUGGUCUUAGUGCAAAAAUAAUAAAACUUGUGACAAAUGAAAUCUCUAAACCAAUUACACAAAUAUUUAAUCAAACAUUCCUAACUGGUAAUAUUCCCCUUGAACUCAAAAUAGCGUUGGUAACGCCGAUUUAUAAGUCAAAUGAAGAGAACAAAUUUGAAAAUUAUAGACCAAUUUCAGUUAUCACUUGUUUUGCAAAAAUACUAGAGAAAAUUAUGUAUAAACGUCUCAUCAAUUUUGUCGAAAAAAAUAAUAUUCUAUCAGAACACCAGUAUGGAUUUCGCAAAAAUAGAUCAACUGAACUCGCUAUAAUUGAAUUUAUUGAUAAAAUAACAAAAGCAAUUGACAAAGGACAAUAUACAAUUGGUAUUUUCCUUGACUUGUCAAAAGCAUUUGAUACUAUUAAUCAUAGCAUCCUGAUUAAGAAAUUAGAAUACUAUGGAAUUAGAGGUGUUGCUCUUAAAUGGUUUGAGAACUAUCUAGCCAAUAGAAAACAAAUUGUUAAGUAUAAUGACACUAAGUCUGAAGCAAUGACAAUAACUAGUGGUGUUCCUCAAGGUUCAAUUUUGGGGCCACUAUUAUUUUUAUUGUACAUAAAUGAUAUCCAAAAUUGCAGCAAACUAGUUUCCAAAAUAUUGUUUGCAGAUGACACAAAUAUUUUCCAUAGCCAUUCUUGCUUAAAAGAGUUAAAUUUAAUCAUGCAAGACAAAAUAAAUAAAAUAGCAGAUUGGAUUAGCAGUAAUAAACUAUCACUAAACACAACUAAAACAAAAUUUAUUUUAUUUAAAUCAUCAAACAAAAGGAUUAAACAUAAUACAAUAAUAUCGAUAAAUGGACAACCAAUAAAACAAGUUAAGAAUACAACUUUUCUUGGUGUUGUUAUUGAUGAACACUUAACAUGGAAUGAUCAUAUUGAUUUAAUUACGAAAAAAGUUAUAAAAUCUACAGGAAUAAUAUCCAAAAUUCGACAUUUCACAAAUUUUAAUACUCUUAAACUAGUCUAUUAUGCUUUAGUUUAUCCUUAUUUAAUAUACGGAAAUUUGAUUUGGGGAAACACAUAUAAAAAACGACUACAAAAAUUAAUAAACAUUCAAAAAAAAAUAAUACGAUUAAUGAUGUUCAAGUCAUAUUCUGAGCAUUCUGAACCACUAUUCAAUGAAGCAAAGAUUCUUAACAUUGAAAAAAUUAAUGACUUUCUGAUCAGUUUAUUCAUGUUUCGAUAUCACUACUUGGAUAAUUUACCAAAAUACUUUACCAAUUACUAUGUUACUAACAACAAAAUACAUGAACACAAUACAAGAAACGCAUCCAAACUUCAUAAAUCAUACUCCAGAACUAAUUUUGUCAAACAUUCACUUCAAAAUAAGGGUGUAAAUAUCUGGAAUGAGUUAAAUACUGACUUAAAAAAAUUAAAAUCCUAUUGCACAUUCAAAAAAAAUUCAAAAAACCACUUCUUGCUGUUGCAUUCGGAAACAUAGAUUUUAUUAUAUGUAUGUUUGUCAUUAUUUGAAACAUUAUAAAAAUUCUUCAAUCUCAUCUUCUUUUUUCUUUUUCUAUUAAACUUACUUUAAGUUCUGACCAAUCAAUGUAAUAAUUAAAUACUUUUAACCUAGGGGUCUUAAUCAAAAGCCUUUGUUUGGUUUCUAGUAGACCUCUAGCCCUAUUUC
rnacentral:lncRNA from 1 species